AUGCACGCUGGCGGCGUGCCUAAUCCAUGCAAGUCGCGCGAACGGACGAGAAGCUUGCUUCUCUGAUGUUAGCGGCGGACGGGUGAGUAACACGUGGAUAACCUACCUAUAAGACUGGGAUAACUUCGGGAAACCGGAGCUAAUACCGGAUAAUAUUUUGAACCGCAUGGUUCAAAAGUGAAAGAUGGUCUUGCUGACACUUAUAGAUGGAUCCGCGCUGCAUUAGCUAGUUGGUAAGGUAACGGCUUACCAAGGCAACGAUGCAUAGCCGACCUGAGAGGGUGAUCGGCCACACUGGAACUGAGACACGGUCCAGACUCCUACGGGAGGCAGCAGUAGGGAAUCUUCCGCAAUGGGCGAAAGCCUGACGGAGCAACGCCGCGUGAGUGAUGAAGGUCUUCGGAUCGUAAAACUCUGUUAUUAGGGAAGAACAUAUGUGUAAGUAACUGUGCACAUCUUGACGGUACCUAAUCAGAAAGCCACGGCUAACUACGUG
rnacentral:rRNA from 1 species